CGAGACUGCGGUAAUAACCGGAGGAAGUGGGAUGACGUCAAAUCAUCAUGCCCCUUAUGACCUGGGCUACACACGUGCUACAAUGGUUGGUACAACGAGUUGCGAGUCGGUGACGGCGAGCUAAUCUCUUAAAGCCAAUCUCAGUUCGGAUUGUAGGCUGCAACUCGCCUACAUGAAGUCGGAAUCGCUAGUAAUCGCGGAUCAGCACGCCGCGGUGAAUACGUUCCCGGGCCUU
rnacentral:rRNA from 1 species